rnacentral:sRNA from 1 species
AGUCACCAUAAUAUCUGCCCCUCGACCUCAGCAUUAAAAAAUGAAAAAUUUUACUUUUUCUUAGCUAUGGAGAUUUUCUUGUUGACUGGGCCCAUAGCUUCAGACCUGAAGUCAGGGAUAUUAUGGACAAUGGAGAUCCAUUUGAAAGAAGCUGCUUAACUUGGAGGAACAGGGAAACAGUGAGCAAGAGUAAGAUGUUUGUCCACCAGGUGAUCCCUUGCUGAGAACAAAGUCUCCUCUUCACAGCCUGAAAACUGGGCAGGCUGGGGUCUGCUGGGAAGGCAUCAUGCCAACCUUCCACCAUCAAUGAGCAAGUUCAGCAGAUUAAGAAGUAGGAGAAACUGACUAUUGAGCUCAAGAAGAAAACCUAAAAGCAGAAGCUGUGUUUGAAUAACAGACGAGAUAUGGCAAGCAGUGUGUGAGCUCUCAUCCUGGAUUUUAAUAGAGAGAGAUGCAUUUUCUGUCCUCAGAGGAACACAGA